rnacentral:lncRNA from 1 species
UUAUUGAACAAAAAAGUUGGAGGCCAGGCCCAACCAAUAUCGAUACAAAAAAAUUAUGAAUGUACAUAUGAGGAGGGGAGUUGCUGUUCAGAGCUAGCUAAACAGAACCGUGCUGUCCAUUGUUCAUGGAAUUGAUCAGAGCAACUUAUAGAUGUUUUUUAGUACUAAAGUUGACUAGCAGCUUGCAGAUGCUCCUCUUCCUAGUUUCAACAAGAGUACAUAGACAUGUUGACACGGCUGGUUAACUUCCCUGCAUUAAGUAGCUAGUUAACAAAAGUUCAUGUAUUAGUUAGUUUAAACUUUAGCAUGAGUAUGGAGCCGCGACACAGCUAGUUAACAUCAUGUGUUACCUAGCUAACCCACUGUUUCAACUAAAUAAAACUAAAAAAAUCAUGAAUAUUUAUAGAAAAAGGUUACUAACCAUUGUAGCAACUUCUUCAAAAAGCGAACCCUCUCAUGCUUCCGUGUCAGUGAUUCC